rnacentral:rRNA from 1 species
AUAGAGACUCAGAGCUGCAUAUCAAUAAGCGGAGGAAAAGAAACUAACAAGGAUUCCCUUAGUAACGGCGAGUGAAGCGGGAAGAGCUCAAAUUUGAAAUCUUCAAGGUUCUACCUUGACGAAUUGUAGUUUAUAAGAAGUGUUUUCUGUUAGUAGAGGUGGCUAAAAGUUCUUUGGAAUAGGACAUCAUAGAGGGUGAGAAUCCCGUAUUUGAUCAUUCUUUCUAACGUUGUGAUACACUUUCAACGAGUCGGAUUGUUUGGGAAUGCAGUCCAAAAUGGGUGGUAAAUUUCAUCUAAAGCUAAAUAUUGGCGAGAGACCGAUAGCGAACAAGUACCGUGAGGGAAAGAUGAAAAGAACUUUGAAAAGAGAGUUAAACAGUACGUGAAAUUGUCAAAAGGGAAGCGUUUGACACCAGUGUUGUUUUUCCGAAAAUCAAUUACUGAAUGGUUUGAUUUUAGAGUUCAUGACCUUCAAUCGCUUGCUUCUUUCUUUACUGUACUUUCGUAAUGCACUUUUCGGUUAACAAGUCAACAUCAAUUUCUUUUGUUGUAAAAGGGUAAUGAGGAAGGUGGCUUUACUUUCGGGUAAAGUGUUUAUAGCCUUGUAGCCUCUGCAAUCGGAGAGAUUGAGGUCUGCAGCGUAGAUCCUUCGGGGUUAGAUACGUUUGUGCUAAGUUAUAGCUUUUCAUAGACAACUUGUUGACUAUGUUUAGUCUUGUAGCUUACUCGCUUACGCUAUUUUACCUACGCUUAGGAUGUUGAUAUGCAUGACUGAUAU